rnacentral:rRNA from 1 species
GGGUGAGUAAUGUAUGAGCAACCUGCCUUUCGGAGGGGGACAACAGUUGGAAACGACUGCUAAUACCGCAUAAUGUAUUGAGGGGGCAUCCCUUUGAUACCAAAGGAGCAAUCCGCCGAAAGAUGGGCUCAUAUCUGAUUAGUUAGUUGGUGGGGUAACGGCUCACCAAGACUGCGAUCAGUAGCCGGACUGAGAGGUUGAACGGCCACAUUGGGACUGAGAUACGGCCCAGACUCCUACGGGAGGCAGCAGUGGGGAAUAUUGGGCAAUGGGCGAAAGCCUGACCCAGCAACGCCGCGUGAAGGAAGAAGGUCCUCGGAUUGUAAACUUCUUUUAUGAGGGACGAAGGACGUGACGGUACCUCAUGAAUAAGCCACGGCUAACUACGUGCCAGCAGCCGCGGUAAUACGUAGGUGGCAAGCGUUAUCCGGAUUUACUGGGUGUAAAGGGCGCGUAGGCGGGGAUGCAAGUCAGAUGUGAAAUCUAUGGGCUUAACUCAUAAACUGCAUUUGAAACUGUAUCUCUUGAGUGCUGGAGAGGUAGAUGGAAUUCCUUGUGUAGCGGUGAAAUGCGUAGAUAUAAGGAAGAACACCAGUGGCGAAGGCGAUCUACUGGACAGU